rnacentral:rRNA from 1 species
UGGGGAAUAUUGCACAAUGGGCGCGAGCCUGAUGCAGCCAUGCCGCGUGUGUGAAGAAGGCCUUCGGGUUGUAAAGCACUUUCAGCGGGGAGGAAGGCGGUGAGGUUAAUAACCUCACCGAUUGACGCUACCCGCAGAAGAAGCACCGGCUAACUCCGUGCCAGCAGCCGCGGUACUACGGAGGGUGCAAGCGUUAAUCGGAAUUACUGGGCGUAAAGCGCACGCAGGCGGUCUGUCAAGUCGGAUGUGAAAUCCCCGGGCUCAACCUGGGAACUGCAUUCGAAACUGGCAGGCUAGAGUCUUGUAGAGGGGUAGGAUUCA